AGACCCGAAACCCGGUGAUCUAGCCAUGGGCAGGUUGAAGGUUGGGUAACACUAACUGGAGGACCGAACCGACUAAUGUUGAAAAAUUAGCGGAUGACCUGUGGCUGGGGGUGAAAGGCCAAUCAAACCGGGAGAUAGCUGGUUCUCCCCGAAAGCUAUUUAGGUAGCGCCUCGUGAAUUCAUCUCCGGGGGUAGAGCACUGUUUCGGCUAGGGGGCCAUCCCGGCUUACCAACCCGAUGCAAACUGCGAAUACCGGAGAAUGUUAUCACGGGAGACACACGGCGGGUGCUAACGUCCGUCGUGAAGAGGGAAACAACCCAGACCGCCAGCUAAGGUCCCAAAGUCAUGGUUAAGUGGGAAACGAUGUGGGAAGGCCCAGACAGCCAGGAUGUUGGCUUAGAAGCAGCCAUCAUUUAAAGAAAGCGUAAUAGCUCACUGGUCGAGUCGGCCUGCGCGGAAGAUGUAACGGGGCUAAACCAUGCACCGAAGCUGCGGCAGCGACACUCAGGUGUUGUUGGGUAGGGGAGCGUUCUGUAAGCCUGUGAAGGUGGCCUGUGAGGGUUGCUGGAGGUAUCAGAAGUGCGAAUGCUGACAUAAGUAACGAUAAAGCGGGUGAAAAGCCCGCUCGCCGGAAGACCAAGGGUUCCUGUCCAACGUUAAUCGGGGCAGGGUGAGUCGACCCCUAAGGCGAGGCCGAAAGGCGUAGUCGAUGGGAAACGGGUUAAUAUUCCCGUACUUGGUGUUACUGCGAAGGGGGGACGGAGAAGGCUAUGUUGGCCGGGCGACGGUUGUCCCGGUUUAAGCGUGUAGGUGUGUGUUCCAGGUAAAUCCGGUUCACUUUAACACUGAGGCGUGACGACGAGGCACUACGGUGCUGAAGCAACAAAUGCCCUGCUUCCAGGAAAAGCCUCUAAGCAUCAGGUAACAUCAAAUCGUACCCCAAACCGACACAGGUGGUCAGGUAGAGAAUACCAAGGCGCUUGAGAGAACUCGGGUGAAGGAACUAGGCAAAAUGGUGCCGUAACUUCGGGAGAAGGCACGCUGACA
rnacentral:rRNA from 1 species